rnacentral:rRNA from 1 species
UACGUAGGGGGCAAGCGUUGUCCGGAUUUAUUGGGCGUAAAGAGCGUGUAGGCGGUUUGGUAGGUCCGUUGUGAAAACUCGAGGCUCAACCUCGAGACGCCGAUGGAAACCAUCAGACUAGAGUCCGGAGGAGGAGAGUGGAAUUCCUGGUGUAGCGGUGAAAUGCGCAGAUAUCAGGAAGAACACCCGUGGCUAAGGCGGCUCUCUAGUACGGUACUGACGCUGAGACGCGAAAGCGUGGGGAGCGAACAGG